GGGGGUGCAUUGGUUUCGAUAGGAGACCUGAAUCGACGGAUGCAUACCGGGAAGCUUGUAACCCGUAAACUGCAGGCAAACUUUAAUUGCGAACACUGAACUCGCAAUGGCUGCCUAGUUAAAACGCUAGUGGCACAGCCCGUUCGCUCGCGCUUCGCCUAUAGGCGCGAUGUCGAGCGUCGACUUUAUAGGCUGGCUUUUCGACGCAGGUCAGAAUUGAAAGGCGAGAUUAAUCUGGCAUAGUUUCGGCGCGGUUCUUCGCCGCUUCUGCUACCGCGCUGAAGCGAAAAUUCAAGCGAAGCGGCUAAGUAUGUAGAUUCCUUCGAAGACGGCUUCUAGACGCCGGUUCAAUUCCGGCCACCUCCAUUA
rnacentral:tmRNA from 1 species